ensembl:lncRNA
UUUGUUUUGUACUGGAUGCCGCGUAUGUGUUGGUUCUUUUUCAUUAAAACAUGGAUUACGUCUGUCUCUGUGCCCUACCACCAACACAAUCGUGACAGUAAAUCUAUUAAAUGUCGGCAGUAGAGCUAUUAACCUUCAGCAGUAGAGCUGUUAACCGUCGGCGGAGAAGCGGAAAGCGUCGUUCAAAUAUCGAUGGAAGGGAAAAAUUGACGUCUACUUGACAUCUUGCCAAUGAGCAGCCGAUGUCUUUACUGCAUUCCGCCGACAUCUCGUGUGUAUGUCGGCCCGACAUCGGUAAGACGAAUGUGUGUUAUCUGGGGACCACUUCCUCUGGUUUUACCAGAGUCCUCUGCCGUACGAUCAGCCUUGAAGACGUCGUGCCCCUCUAGACAAAUUGCUUCGUCAGUGACCCUACGUUAGCAAGGAAAAGGCUUGGUAGUGAAAGCUGAUGGGGGCUUGCUGUAGCCUAGCCCAGAGGCCACCCCGCUUCCCUCGCCUUUGUUCACGAUCUCGACGCCACCUCCAGGAACUUCCUGUCAGCAAUGUGAAUUGCCUCUCCUGGGGCGUCUUUGCGAUCUCCAGUGGAAGUGAAACUGUGUGCAUUGUGUUCCAAUAUUUAGGAGUUCUCGGGUAUAGUGUAUGUCAGGCUGUAUUUAGUGAAUAAACUAAGAACUAUUAAGUUACUUACUGCUAAUUUGCUAAAUCUAGGUAGACCCUGAGCCUAUAGUGCUUGUGUGCCGCCUUCUUGGUCUUUGGGCUUGAGUUCAGCAGGCUAAAUUCAAAGUAUUGUAGUUGGAUGACCAGUUAUGACAGUUACAUUUUUGUGCAGGUUUGUUUGUACUGUAUGCCUGCUAUGAAAAAAAUACCUGCAUACCAUUUUGACUACUGUCCAGUAGUAUGGACAUGUACAACAAAGAUCCAGUAAGGCUGCAGCUGGCUGAAAACAGAACAGAAUUUCUUGCCAUUAAUUUGCCUUAAGGCUCUGAUAACAUACAAAGUUCCAGGUUUAUUCAUCACAUGCACAGAGUAAGUGUCAUUCUGAACAAUAAAAUUAUUGUGACAUGGCACACAUCUAUGUAGAAG